rnacentral:tRNA from 1 species
GCGCCUCUAGCUCAAUUGGAUAGAGCGUCUGGCUACGGACCAGGAGGUUGGGGGUUCAAUUCCCUCGGGGCGCGCCA